rnacentral:rRNA from 1 species
AGAGUUUGAUUCUGGCUCAGAACGAACGCUGGCGGCGUGGAUAAGACAUGCAAGUCGAACGAGAGAAUUGCUAGCUUGCUAAUAAUUCUCUAGUGGCGCACGGGUGAGUAACACGUGAGUAACCUGCCCCCAAGAGUGGGAUAGCCCCGGGAAACUGGGAUUAAUACCGCAUAAAAUCGCAAGAUUAAAGCAGCAAUGCGCUUGGGGAUGGGCUCGCGUCCUAUUAGUUAGUUGGUGAGGUAACGGCUCACCAAGGCGAUGACGGGUAGCCGGUCUGAGAGGAUGUCCGGCCACACUGGAACUGAGACACGGUCCAGACACCUACGGGUGGCAGCAGUCGAGAAUCAUUCACAAUGGGGGAAACCCUGAUGGUGCGACGCCGCGUUGGGGAAUGAAGGUCUUCGGAUUGUAAACCCCUGUCAUGUGGGAGCAAAUUAAAAAGAUAGUACCACAAGAGGAAGAGACGGCUAACUCUGUGCCAGCAGCCGCGGUAAUACAGAGGUCUCAAGCGUUGUUCGGAAUCACUGGGCGUAAAGCGUGCGUAGGCGGUUUCGUAAGUCGUGUGUGAAAGGCGGGGGCUCAACCCCCGGACUGCACAUGAUACUGCGAGACUAGAGUAAUGGAGGGGGAACCGGAAUUCUCGGUGUAGCAGUGAAAUGCGUAGAUAUCGAGAGGAACACUCGUGGCGAAGGCGGGUUCCUGGACAUUAACUGACGCUGAGGCACGAAGGCCAGGGGAGCGAAAGGGAUUAGAUACCCCUGUAGUCCUGGCAGUAAACGGUGCAAGCGUGGUGUGCGGGGAAUCGACCCCCUGCGUGCCGGAGCUAACGCGU